UACGUAGGGUGCGAGCGCUAAUCGGAAUUACUGGGCGUAAAGCGUGCGCAGGCGGUUAUGUAAGACAGGGGUGAAAUCCCCGGGCUUAACCUGGGAACUGCAUUUGUGACUGCAUAGCUAGAGUACGGUAGAGGGGGAUGGAAUUCCGCGUGUAGCAGUGAAAUGCGUAGAUAUGCGGAGGAACACCGAUGGCGAAGGCAAUCCCCUGGACCUGUACUGACGCUCAUGCACGAAAGCGUGGGGAGCAAACAGG
rnacentral:rRNA from 1 species